rnacentral:rRNA from 1 species
GAUGAACGCUGGCGGCGUGCCUAAUACAUGCAAGUCGAGCGAACGGACGAGAAGCUUGCUUCUCUGAUGUUAGCGGCGGACGGGUGAGUAACACGUGGAUAACCUACCUAUAAGACUGGGAUAACUUCGGGAAACCGGAGCUAAUACCGGAUGAUAUUUUGAACCGCAUGGAUCAAAAGUGAUAGACGGUCUUGCUGUCACUUAGAGAUGGAUCCGCGCUGCAUUAGCUAGUUGGUAAGGUAACGGCUUACCAAGGCAACGAUGCAUAGCCGACCUGAGAGGGUGAUCGGCCACACUGGAACUGAGACACGGUCCAGACUCCUACGGGAGGCAGCAGUAGGGAAUCUUCCGCAAUGGGCGAAAGCCUGACGGAGCAACGCCGCGUGAGUGAUGAAGGUCUUCGGAUCGUAAAACUCUGUUAUUAGGGAAGAACAGAUGUGUAAGUAACUGUGCACAUCUUGACGGUACCUAAUCAGAAAGCCACGGCUAACUACGUG